rnacentral:rRNA from 1 species
GACGAACGCUGGCGGCGUGCUUAACACAUGCAAGUCGAACGGAAAGGCCCUGCUUUUGUGGGGUGCUCGAGUGGCGAACGGGUGAGUAACACGUGAGUAACCUGCCCUUGACUUUGGGAUAACUUCAGGAAACUGGGGCUAAUACCGUAUAGCAGCUCCUGCUGCAUGGUGGGGGUUGGAAAGUUUAGGCGGUUGGGGAUGGACUGGCGGCUUAUCAGCUUGUUGGUGGGGUAGUGGCUUACCAAGGCUUUGACGGAUAGCCGGCCUGAGAGGGUGACCGGCGACCAUAGGACUACGAGACGGCGCAGACGGGAACGGGAGGCAGCAGGCGCGAGUAUUGCACAAUGAGAGGAAGCCUGAUGAAGAAGCGCCGCGUUCGGGAUGACGGCUUUCUGGGUGUGAAAAGCUUUCGGCUGAGACGAAGCGUGAGUGACGGUAAUGGGAAAAGAAGCACCGGCUAACUACGUG